GUGGCCAUAGGUUAUGAACUACAUAGAAAAGCUAAAAGAAAUUGCCAUGCAGUGAGGAGACGGGAACAUGAGAAGGAAGCCAAAGCUACAGAUUUACUACUCUGGUCUAUCCUACUGAAGAGGAAUUUGGGAAGAAAAAGAUAUGAAAUAGUUCAAGGUAUUUUAAAAUACAAACCUAAAAGAUUGUAGAACUGGCUGUUAAUGAUACCAAAGGCCAGGAUUUGAGACCCAAGAGAGAUGGGGGGAACAGAAGAAGAGUUAAAAAAAAAACAAAGGAAGGAGGAAGAGAGACAAGAGGAAGAACAGAGAAGAACAGAAGAGAACACAGACGAACAGAGAAGUACUAGAGAAAACAUGAGGGGCCAUAGAAAAGACAUAUUAAUAUUUCCACACUGUACAAUAUACAUAUUUGAUC